GAUGAACGCUGGCGGCGUGCUUAACACAUGCAAGUCGAACGAAGCGCUUAAACGGAUUUCUUCGGAAUGAAGUUAUUGCGACUGAGUGGCGGACGGGUGAGUAACGCGUGGGUAACCUGCCUCAUACAGGGGGAUAACAGUUAGAAAUGACUGCUAAUACCGCAUAAGCGCACAGUACCGCAUGGUACCGUGUGAAAAACUCCGGUGGUAUGAGAUGGACCCGCGUCUGAUUAGCUAGUUGGUGGGGUAACGGCCUACCAAGGCGACGAUCAGUAGCCGACCUGAGAGGGUGACCGGCCACAUUGGGACUGAGACACGGCCCAAA
rnacentral:rRNA from 1 species